rnacentral:rRNA from 1 species
UGGGGAAUUUUGGACAAUGGGCGAAAGCCUGAUCCAGCAAUGCCGCGUGUGUGAAGAAGGCCUUCGGGUUGUAAAGCACUUUUGUCCGGAAAGAAAUCCUUGGCUCUAAUACAGUCGGGGGAUGACGGUACCGGAAGAAUAAGCACCGGCUAACUACGUGCCAGCAGCCGCGGUAAUACGUAGGGUGCAAGCGCUAAUCGGAAUUACUGGGCGUAAAGCGUGCGCAGGCGGUUUGCUAAGACCGAUGUGAAAUCCCCGGGCUCAACCUGGGAACUGCAUUGGUGACUGGCAGGCUAGAGUAUGGCAGAGGGGGGUAGAAUUCCACGUGUAGCAGUGAAAUGCGUAGAGAUGUGGAGGAAUACCGAUGGCGAAGGCAGCCCCCUGGGCCAAAUACUGACGCUCAUGCACGAAAGCGUGGGGAGCAAACAGGAUUAGAUACCCUGGUAGUCCACGCCCUAAACGAUGUCAACUAGUUGUUGGGGAUUCAUUUCCUUAGUAACGUAGCUAACGCGUGAAGUUGACCGCCUGGGGAGUACGGUCGCAAGAUUAAAACUCAAAGGAAUUGACGGGGUCAUAGCUGUUUCCU